ensembl:lncRNA
UGAAAUGUAACGGUCGCCUCUAAGGGGCGAUAUAGGGUUUUUAAUUGUAAGGUCGCAGUGAGGUCAAUCCACAAAAGACACCCGUGGUCUAAAGCUGCCAUGAAUAAGGGCGGAGAGAGCCGGACUCGCUGGCUGGCAGCCAAUUUGCUUCAUAGAUGAAGAGCGGAUGGGUGCCAAGGAGCUGGCUGCUGCUGUUGUCGGAGACGUGUUUCAUGUAGGCUCCAAAAUGCACCGUUUCUCUACGCCGCCGAGCAGCAAAAAGGGUAAUUACUCGGUGCUGCCAUCUUGACGCUGCAUGUUCAACGGUCAACGGGGAGUCUCUUGUUGUCUGAGGGAACCUCACACCCCAAUCGAGGCCGGCUUAAAAAACGGAUCCCCCAGCGUGUGUGGAAAGUUCCAAUUAUAACCGACUAUGCUAGCUUUUUAGUCAAGAACUGCAUGGAUGGAGGUGGUGGGUGGGUGGUCCUGUGGAUACCAGAGGAGAAUGACAAAGGGGGUCAUCACUGGCUCAGCCAAUUACCCCAAAAAAAGAGUCAGAGGGUGGAAAGAAAGAAUCCAUCAAACACACAAUUAUGGAGGACAUGGGACUGCCGACGGACAGCCUUGUGUCAGGCUGGGUGAGAUGCACCCACGCUCCGCAGUUGUACAGAAGGACGACUACAAUGCAGGAUGGUUCAGCCCCCGUCUGGCUGUUAAGAUGCAUAGUGAAACGGGGUCAGGGUGGAGGAGUGGCCGGUUUCUGACGGCGUUUAGUAAACGCUAAUGAUUCUGAUCCCUUAGAUUAGGAAUGCGACUCAAAUGUAUUUAUUUGUGGUGACUGAUUGAUGCAAUAUCAUUGUUGUAAAGUGUGAUACUCGUGAUUUAAAAAUAUAAAACACCGCCUUUUUGUAAACCCGAGCAGUUCAGAGUGCAAGCCUUAAGAACGGAGAGUUGCAUAUGAGAGCGUUUCACUUGUACAUUAUUGAAGCUUUGUUGUUCUGAAAUGUUUGCAGGUGAUCUCUCGGUCGAGAGGGGGCACGCCAUGUCAAGCCUUUAGAAGUACAGGUAUCCACCAGAAAUAGAAUGAAAGAAAUAACAAGAGAGAUAGAAUGCAGGACUUAAUAGCCAUCACAACACAAGCGCAGUGAGGGUUCUCUUUGCUCCUUCAGCAUUCAUUUUAAGUGUGGGAUAAACUGGAGGAUAUGCUUGAGGGGACUAUGAGGGAGGGGCUUGAAAAAAGGGGGAAGGGCUUGAGGCAAAAGGGAG